CGCCUGGGAACUACGAGCUAAGCUUAAAACCCAAAGGACUUGACGGUACCCCAUAUCCCCCUAGAGGAGCCUGUCCUAUAAUCGAUAAUCCACGUUUAACCUCACCACUCCUAGUUAAUCAGCCUGUAUACCUCCGUCGUCAGCUUACCACGUGAGCGUAAAUUAGUGAGCCCAAUGUUAUUUCACCAACACGUCAGGUCAAGGUGCAGCAAAUGAAGUGGGAAGAGAUGGGCUACACUUUCUAUUUUAGAAAAAACGAAAAACUACCUAUGAAACCUAGUUAGAAGGCGGAUUUAGCAGUAAAAAGAAAUCAGCAUGUUCAUUUUAACCCGGCACUGGGGUGUGUACACACCGCC
rnacentral:rRNA from 1 species